rnacentral:ncRNA from 1 species
AAUAAAAUAUGGCAAACUCAAAGAAAUUUGAGGACGCAAAGCUAUAGGGCCUGUAAAAUGGUAGCCAGUUGCACAA